UACAGAGGUCUCAAGCGUUGUUCGGAUUUAUUGGGCGUAAAGGGCGCGUAGGCGGCGGGGUAAGUCGGGUGUGAAAUCUCAGGGCUCAACCCUGAAACUGCACUUGAUACUGCUCUGCUUGAGGACUGGAGAGGAGACUGGAAUUCACGGUGUAGCAGUGAAAUGCGUAGAUAUCGUGAGGAAGACCAGUGGCGAAAGGCGGGUCUCUGGACAGUUCCUGACGCUGAGGCGCGAAGGCCAGGGGAGCAAACGGG
rnacentral:rRNA from 1 species